ensembl:rRNA 5S_rRNA 5S ribosomal RNA
GUCCACGGCCAUGCCGCCCCAAACAAGCCGGAUCCCGUCUGACCUCGCAAGCUCAGCAGGGUCAGGCCUGGUUAGUACUUGGAUGGGAGACCAGCUACGAAGAUCAGGUGCUGUAGGCG